ACGGAGGGUGCAAGCGUUAUCCGGAUUCACUGGGUUUAAAGGGUGUGUAGGAGGGCAGGUAAGUCAGUGGUGAAAUCUCCGAGCUUAACUUGGAAACUGCCGUUGAUACUAUCUGUCUUGAAUAUUGUGGAGGUGAGCGGAAUAUGUCAUGUAGCGGUGAAAUGCUUAGGUAUGACAUAGAACACCAAUUGCGAAGGCAGCUUGCUACGCAUAUAUUGACUCUGAGGCACGAAAGCGUGGGGAUCAAACAGGA
rnacentral:rRNA from 1 species